CCUGCUCCCAGGGGCAUUUCAGGUGUGGCUGCUGUGUCACAGGUACUUCUGUAGGUGGCAGAGAGGAGAGAGGCUAUGCCUAUGCUCAGUGUUCUGACCUGCGAACAUCUGUAUGAUUAGUAGCUUAACACU